CGACGAUCUGUAGCUGGUCUGAGAGGACGACCAGCCAMACUGGGACUGAGACACGGCCCAGANCUCUACGGGAGGCAGCAGUGGGGAAUUUUGGACAAUGGGCGAAAGCCUGAUCCAGCAAUGCCGCGUGUGUGAAGAAGSCUUCGGGUUGUAAAGCACUUUUGUCCGGAAAGAAAACUUCUGUCCUAAUACGGCGGGAGGAUGACGGUACCGGAAGAAUAAGCACCGGCUAACUAAGUGCCAGCAGCCGCGGUAAUACGUAGGGUGCAAGCGUUAAUCGGAAUUACUGGGCGUAAAGCGUGCGCAGGCGGUCCGCUAAGACAGAUGUGAAAUCCCCGGGCUUAACCUGGGAACUGCAUUUGUGACUGGCGGGCUAGAGUAUGGCAGAGGGGGGUAGAAUUCCACGUGUAGCAGUGAAAUGCGUAGAGAUGUGGAGGAAUACCGAUGGCGAAGGCAGCCCCCUGGGCCAAUACUGACGCUCAUGCACGAAAGCGUGGGGAGCAAACAGGAUUAGAUACCCUGGUAGUCCACGCCCUAAACRAUGUCAACUAGUUGUUKKKUCUUCWUUGACUUAGUAWCC
rnacentral:rRNA from 1 species